AUUGAACGCUGGCGGCAGGCCUAACACAUGCAAGUCGAGCGAGCGGCGGACGGGUGAGUAAUGUCUGGGAAACUGCCUGAUGGAGGGGGAUCACUCCUGGAAACGGUAGCUACUACCGCAUACCCUCAGAUGUGCCCAGAUGGGAUUAGCUAGUAGGUGGGGUAACGGCUCACCUAGGCGACGAUCCCUAGCUGGUCUGAGAGGAUGACCAGCCACACGGGAACUGAGACACGGUCCAGACGCCUAAGGGAGGCAGCAGUGGGGAAUAUUGCACAAUGGGCGCAAGCCUGAUGCAGCCAUGCCGCGUGGAUGAAGAAGGCCUUCGGGUUGUAAAGUACUGUCAGCGGGGAGGCGUUACCCGCAGAAGAAGCACCGGCUAACUCCGUGCCAGCAGCCGCGGUAAUAC
rnacentral:rRNA from 1 species